UACGUAGGGGGCAAGCGUUGUCCGGAUUUAUUGGGCGUAAAGAGCGUGUAGGCGGUUUGGUAGGUCCGCUGUGAAAACUCGAGGCUCAACCUCGAGACGCCGGUGGAAACCAUCAGGCUAGAGUCCGGAAGAGGAGAGUGGAAUUCCUGGUGUAGCGGUGAAAUGCGCAGAUAUCAGGAAGAACACCCGUGGCUAAGGCGGCUCUCUGGGCCUUACCUGACGCUGAGGAGCGAAAGCAUGGGGAGCAAACAGG
rnacentral:rRNA from 1 species